AACGAACGCUGGCGGCAUGCCUAACACAUGCAAGUCGAACGAGAACGCCGGGUCUUGUGGCGCACGGGGGGGGCAGGCGGGGGAAGCUUCACGUAGGUACCGUAUACCUCUCCGAGGGGGAUGCUAAUACCGGAUAAUGUCUUCGGACAAAAGAUUUCUCGCCUUUGGAUGGGCCCGCGUUGGAUUAGCUAGUUGGUAGGGUAAAAGCCUACCAAGGCGACGUUGCAUAGCUGGUGGGAGAGGAUGCCCAGCCACACUGGGGGUGUGACCCGGCCCAGACUCCUACGGAAGGCAGCAGUGGGGAAUAUUGGACGAUGGGCGAAAGCCUGAUGCAGCCAUGCCGCGUGAGUGAUGAAGGCGUUAGGGUUGUAAAGCUCUUUUACACGGGAUGAUAAUGACGGUACCGGGAGAAUAAGCACCGGCUAACUACGUG
rnacentral:rRNA from 1 species